GUUCCGUCAAACAGCUGUGAAGGGAAGUACUUCACGGAACCACCCUGUGGGACGACGGCCUCGCUGGGCUUCCACCCGUCAGCGUGCUUAGAGCUGCUGCCUUGGGCCCCAGAAGCUGCAGGUUUGAAUCCCAGCUCCAGCAGUCAGAGAGUUCCAAGGGAAGCAGGUUUACAGCAACGACUCCACGCUCCAGCCCAUCGAAGCGGCUCAGCCAGGCAGACAGAUGCACAGAAACGCGGAGGUGCAUCUGAUGCAGAAUUUGAAGAUAAUUCUCAAAAUCCAAC
rnacentral:lncRNA from 1 species